rnacentral:rRNA from 1 species
AUGGACCUUAUGGCGCAUUAGCUGGGUUGGCGGGGUAACGGCCCACCAAGGCGACGAUGCGUAGCCGACCUGAGAGGGGUGACCGGCCACACUGGGACUGAGGACACGGCCCAGACUCCUACGGGAGGCAGCAGUAGGGAAUUUUCGGCAAUGGGGGAAACCCUGACCGAGCAACGCCGCGUGAAAGGAAGAAAGGUUUUCCGGAUUGUAAACUUCUGUUAUAAAGGAAGAACGGCGGCUACAGGAAAUGGUAGCCGAGUGACGGUACUUUAUUAGAAAGCCACGGCUAACUACGUGCCAGCAGCCGC